rnacentral:rRNA from 1 species
UACGUAGGGUGCGAGCGUUGUCCGGAAUUAUUGGGCGUAAAGGGCUCGUAGGCGGUCUGUCGCGUCGGGAGUGAAACUCAGGGCUUAACCCUGAGCCUGCUUCCGAUACGGGCAGACUAGAGGUAUGCAGGGGAGAACGGAAUUCCUGGUGUAGCGGUGAAAUGCGCAGAGUAUCAGGAGAACACCAAUGGCGAAAGCAGCUUCUGGGACGGUACUGACGCUGAGACGCGAAAGCGUGGGGAGCGAACAGG